rnacentral:tRNA from 1 species
GGUUUUAUAGUCAAUUAUGAUUUUAAAUUGCAAGUUUAAAGGUAAGGAUUAUCUUUUAAAGCCU